UACGUAGGGGGCAAGCGUUGUCCGGAUUUAUUGGGCGUAAAGAGCGUGUAGGCGGCCAGGUAGGUCUGCUGUGAAAACUCGAGGCUUAACCUCGAGCUGUCGGCGGAAACCAUCUGGCUAGAGUCCGGAAGAGGAGAAUGGAAUUCCCGGUGUAGCGGUGAAAUGCGCAGAUAUCGGGAAGAACACCCGUGGCGAAGGCGGUGCCCUGGGACGGUACUGACGCUGAGACGCGAAAGCGUGGGGAGCGAACAGG
rnacentral:rRNA from 1 species